rnacentral:sRNA from 2 species
CCAUCACAUUCUAAAUUUAACUUCCUUAUAUGAAGAACACUUCAAGAUUGUUGGCCCUAGGCUGCCUAUCACGGACUAGCGCACCGCACAUAUAUGCCUCAGCUGCCUACAUGCUAAUACAACCACUUAGACGUCUCACAAAAAUUCCUCACAAGUGCCCCAUCUUCUACUAGGACCAAGCACACAGGUCUGACAAUGAGGAUUAUCUACCAUGCAAUCUAUAUGUACCCGACACAUAUACUCAGCACAGAAGUCAGAACGGGCAAAUUGAAAACCAUGAUUAUAUUUAUACUUAUAGACUGU